GCGCCGAUGGUUGAGUGGUACAAUAGACCCCUGCCACGGGUCUGGCCCGGGUCCGAUUCCCGGUCGGCGCA
rnacentral:tRNA from 1 species